rnacentral:rRNA from 1 species
AAGAAGGCCUUCGGGUCGUAAACCACUUUUGCACGGGACGAAAAAGGGAUAUCGAACAAAUAUCCCCGAUGACGGUACCGUGAGAAUAAGCCACGGCUAACUCUGUGCCAGCAGCCGCGGUAAGACAGAGGUGGCAAGCGUUGUUCGGAAUUACUGGGCGUAAAGAGUCUGUAGGUGGUUUGUCAAGUCUUUGGUGAAAGGCCGUAGCUUAAACUAUGGGAAUGCCAAAAGAGACUGGCAGGCUGGAGGCUGGGAGAGGGAAGCGGAAUUUCUGGUGUAGCGGUGAAAUGCGUAGAUAUCAGAAGGAAGGCCGG